UACGUAGGGGGCAAGCGUUGUCCGGAAUUAUUGGGCGUAAAGAGCGCGUAGGCGGUCCGGUAAGUCGGUUGUGAAAGUCGGGGGCUCAACCCUCGGAUGCCGAUCGAUACUGUCGGGCUAGAGUCCGGAAGAGGCGAGUGGAAUUCCUGGUGUAGCGGUGAAAUGCGCAGAUAUCAGGAGGAACACCAAUGGCGAAGGCAGCCCGCUGGGACGUUACUGACGCUGAGACGCGAAAGCGUGGGGAGCAAACAGG
rnacentral:rRNA from 1 species